GGUCAAGCGACUAAGUGCAUGUGGUGGAUGCCUUGGCGACUACAGGCGAUGAAAGACGCGUAAGCCUGCGAUAAGCUUCGGGGAGCUGGCAAUAGAGCUUGAUCCGGAGAUCU
rnacentral:rRNA from 1 species